rnacentral:rRNA from 1 species
GCGACGUAGGCGGCGUGACAAGUCACUUGUGAAAUCUCCGGGCUUAACUCGGAACGGCCAAGUGAUACUGUCGUGCUAGAGUGCAGAAAGGGCAACUGGAAUUCUUGGUGUAGCGGUGAAAUGCGUAGAUAUCAAGAGGGAACACCUGAGGCGAAGGCGAGUUGCUAGGCUGACACUGACGCUGAGGCGCGAAAGCUAGGGGAGCGAACG